CAGAUGUUCCUCGCUGUUUGCCAUAAAAAAAUUGGAUUUUAGUCUCAAGCCUAAGGGGAGACAAACAACAACAUCCUACCAACCUGCCUGGGCAGGUCCCUGUUUUCCAGCCGGGAUUUGGGGAGCAAGGAACGUUGUUUUACCCUCAUGGGAGGCUUUUGACUCGGAGCAACCCUCAAACUUCCCUUCCUGGUUGGUUUUUUUGCUCCUUUGCCCUUAAUUUUCAAAGCCCUCAGUGCUUUUCCAGCUCAGGAAAACACUGGGAGGGGAGGAAACGGGCAAACAAUGUCUUUUUGGAGCCACCCAACAACGCAGGGUUGGAAAACUGGGGGUUUUCGAGUCCUCCCCGCCCGGACGGAGGGGAAAAAGGAUGUGUUUUUGUUCAGGGUUGUCUCCCUUGUCCUUCGGAGCUUGUUUAUCCGCGCCUUUCUGGCACGGCUCCGUGUUUUUCUUUCCCCACCACCAUCCUCGCCUUUCCCCGGAGUUAAUUCACACCUGUUAGAAUAAACCGAUAAAGCCGCCGGAUAAACUAUAGGGCAUAAACUCUCCACCUGCCAAACUGCGGGGCGGCUUUCCUUACGGAAAAACCUUACGGAUUGCUUUUUUUUCCCCCCUGUUAGGGACGUGAUGGAAGAGCUUCACCCUCUUUCUGCCACCCUAACCCUUGCCCCACUGUCCCUCCUGGCACGGGAGGAAGAAGGUGCCGGGUUCCCAAAGAGCCGCGGAGUUGUUCUAAUUUGGCCAAACGAGGGGAGAUCUCUUUCCAGCUUUGCCAGCUAUGGGAUAUUCGAUCCCCGAGACCCCAGCUUGGAGCUACGUCCAGCAUUCCCGCGUUUACGCGCUCCUCUCUGGUUUCUUUUGAUGCCCGUCUUUCCAGGAAAACAAACCCAGCCCCGGCUCUCGCUGCCCGUGGUUGUGGGCAGGAAAACACAUUCCAACGAUGUCAAAGGACGACGGAGCCCAAAGCCAAAGAGUCUGGCAAAGAUACGGUCCCAGGCACGUUCCACAGCCUCAGCCUUUCCAUAUUUCUCUUUUCUCUGUCAGUCAGCUCAUGCCCUUUGCUCUCAUAACCUCUAUCCGACUGGAAAUGCCUCUCCUGCCGCAGAACGCGGAGCAGCUCUGCUUUCCUCGGGGCUGAGGCUUUGUUUCCCACGCAAGCGGCGCUCUGGAUGAAGCGAGGCUUUCCGAAGUUCAAUUUUAGCUUAUAAAUAACCGAAAUGCUUGAAAAUGUCACGUCUCAGGCCAAAAGCGAGGGCACUGGAGAGAAGGCAGUUGGGUUUCUGGGCAGAGAUCGGCGAUUUGGGGUUUCUUGCUCCCACUAAGCAAUUGUUUGGAGGCAUUCACCGCCCUCUCGUUUCCUACAGGGAUGGUGGUGCUUGGAGGGUCCCCUCUAUCCGUAAUUGAGGGCAAAGCCACUGAGGGUGGAUGGGGAGAGCAGGCAAAGCCUUGUCCUGUCCCGGUGUGCCUGGCCGGGGGCGAGGGAUGACGAGGAGAGCUGUGUGACUCAUGUUCUACGCCGGGGAGAACCCCUUGGAAAAGCAGCAGGGUUGGGUUUUAGCGAGAAACCAAGCCCUGAGGUGACUCAGUGAGAGCCGGAGCUGCUGCGUGGGUCAAGGAGAAGGAGUUGGAUUGUGUCUUCGCAAUAGAGGAAGGGGAAAACCAGAGCGAAGAGUCAACAGCCGGUGACAAGGGGCUGAACUCAGUCAUCCAUAAACAAGGAGGAAUUUGGGAAGUCCCGUGUUUAUCAUCUGCUCUGGGCCAGAAAACUCAGCUGCAGCGGCUCCGUCCUCUGGAUGGGAGAGCGUGACCUCUCCCGGGCUCGCGGCGCGCGGCAGGAGACCACUGCUCCAAACCUGCCCCAGCCCAGCCUUCCUCUUCCAGAAGAACAAAUCCAGCUCCUCUCUUCUCCAAACCAAUCCUCUGGGUCCUCUUUGCCUCUGGUGUCGGCUGGUUAUGAACUACGCUCUUAGGAAGGGAGGAAAAAGUGUCAUAAAGCAAAAGAUUUCCUGAGCUUCCAUUCCUGCUCCGUCCGUUUGUCCCUUGGAGGGCCCAACAGGUGCUGGAAAGAGCAAAGAAAGAAGGUUUCCUUACUUUUCAGAGCUCCUGUGAGGUUGCCAGCGGCUGUGUCAGUGCCUGGGGACAAGGAGACCCUCGCUGGAGGUCCUCACCCCACAGGUCAACCUUCGUCAUGUAGAGAACCAGGCUGGAUUUUGGAUUACCUGCACCACUGACUUAGGAUAUCGGUGCGUUCGACCUGCCCAGUCCUGGGUCCAAAGUCUAAGAGGAGGGCAGAGCUGAGGCUGGAACGCAAACCUGCCCAAAGGUGGCCCAGAGGUUGCCAAACGCUGCGCUGCACCAGCUGAAUUCCCGAAAUCCCGUCUGCAAGGACUCGGAGCGGCUCCACCAACCCCAGCUCCUGCAGGGAGGAGAAACGGCGUGGAGAUGUCCAGGUCUUGCUGCUCCUCACGGUGCGGGAGUGAAGCCUCGCGGACCCACCGCACGCUCAGCGCCUUCGCACCCGGAGCCUCGUGCGGACCUGAGGAGAGCAGACGGAGCCGCGAGGCUUAACCAAACCCCCAAAGUGGUACCGUUCUCCUCACGGGGAAUCGCUCCCGAUUCCCGCAGAGCGCAUCCAGACCAGCCUGGAUUGUUUAGGGAUGGAGUUUAGGGGGGUUUAGGAUGGGGUUCCCCACCCAAACCUCUCCUCUCCUACCCUGGCAUGAACCGAGCCGCCGGCGCUGAGCUGUGUCGCGGCGGCUGCAGAACUGCUCCGUACCCAAAAAACGGGGGAGUAAAGGAAGGAUAGUGGCUCCUAAUCCCAGGACAAGCUCCAAUCUCCAGUCAGACUCUUGUUUUUAGCGUAACAGCCCUUCUUUCUUGGGGGCAAGAGGUAGAAAAGAAAAGAAAGGAUAAAACCCAGCGUGGGUUCCAACCCCAUCCGGGGUUUACAUCAGCGGCAAUUCGAGGGAGAAGGUUUUAGGUGCCCGUUUCUUUCCCUCCCGGAGCACACGGAGGCUUUGCAGCUCUUCCCUGCCCCGUAUUUACGCUCUGGGUGUCUGUUACCCGGUAACAAGGGAUAACCAGGGAGCGGAAAAAAUGUUGUUUAACAAAUAAACCCCAUCUCCUAGCGUGGCUUCCC